rfam:Cryptococcus dejecticola CBS 10117 unplaced genomic scaffold supercont1.2, whole genome shotgun sequence.
GGUCGCGUGGCCUAAUGGUUACGGCGUUUCCUUCCUACAAUGCUUUCGGGAGACAGGUGAAGAUUGCGGGUUCGAUCCCCGCCGUGACUU